UGGGAAAGGCUGAAGAACUGGAAACUGAGGCAGAGCAUUGUCUAGUACCGCUGGGAGGUGGCAUUGGCAGGGCAAGCCUGACAGCUAAUCUGCACGUGUUAACAGAAGGGAACACAGGCUCCAGAGCUGCCUGCACAGGAUCGGGUGGGCCCAGUCUCGUACCCUUGAAAGCCUCUCCCUCAAGGCGGCAGCCUAGUGUCCCCAAAGAUUAGGAUCCCGGCGCCUUAGUUUUCAAGUGUCACAAAGGGGAGAUGGCACUUGGCAGAGUGGGUAGUGGAGGUCUGGAGGCCACGGGAGCUGGCCCCGGUCGGAGGGCGGGUCGGGUGGUAAGUCUCACUUCCGCCGGACGCUCUUGGGAGAAGGAUGGAGGAGGAGCAGAGGCUGCGGGGGAGGCUGAGCCGCCGCAGGCCGCCCGCAGGGGGCGGGGCCCCCAGCUGCCGCCCCUGGUUUCUCAUGGAGGGCAGUAAGAGUGAGCCAUGGGCUGCUCUGCUGCGUAGCACUGUGAGCGGGGACGUGGAUUUGACCCCGAACGGUCAGCCGCUGCCACCACUGCCUGCUUUUUCCAGCCAGGAGUCUCUGCCUGACCCAGAGCUCACUGUGCCUCCUGAGGUCUUCACUGUGGGAUCCAAGACUUUUUCCUGGACGCCUUUUCCACCUGCCCUUGGUGGCUCUGGAAACUCCUACCAGUUGUUCCAUGGGCCUGGAGGCUCCCUGGGGUCACCUAUUCCAUCCUUGAAAAGAUGUCCUGCACCAGAUUCCCGUCAGAUUCCCAGCCCCCAAGAAUGUGUGUCUGUGCAGAGUACGCCUGUGUUGCUGAGCUGCCCAUUGUGCCAGAAGGCAUUUGAUCCGACGCUGGCCCAGCUGGAUGUGGAUAGCCACCUUGCUCAGUGCUUGGCUGAAAGCACAGAAGACAUAGUGUGGUGAGCUGCAGGAUGCCUCUCCUGUCCCCUCCUUCCGGCACACACACUGACAUAGGGAUGUGACUGCUGAGAUGUGUCUUCGUGUGGACACCUGAGCACAGACUCCUCUGGUUUUGUGUGUGGGCACUGGGCACAAUGCUGAUCACCGUGGUGCCGACGUCAGUAGGUCCUCUGUGAUGGCUCCUUUCUUGUCAACUUAACUGGGUUUGGAAUCACCUAAGAGACAGACCUCAGGGUGUGUCUGUGAAGCUGUUUCCAGAGAUUAAUUGAGAAAGGAAGACCCCCCUUGAAUGUGGGUGGUACCAUCCUGUGGCCUGGGGUCUCACUGAAUGAAAAGGAGAAACUGAGCUGCUUCCUGACUGGGGAUGUGAUGUGCUUCUCACCUGUCACCACAGCUACAGCUGCUUUUGCUACUGUAACGUCAGCCGUGAGCCAGAAUCCAUCUUAAGUUGCUUUGAUCAAGUAUUUUGUCAUAGCAGGGAGAACCCCACCCAAGCAGUCUUUAAUAGAUGUGCAAGAAUACGAACGACCUUGGCCGUGGAGGGCGAGAACAUCGUCCACAGAAGGAACGCCGGCCGGCGAUGGGCUCCACUGAUCAAUUGUACAAAACCACAUGGUUAUGGCGACUGCUUUACAAUCAUGAAAGUCACCGGUGUUCUUGAACCGUUUUCAAAAGACACACGCUAUCUUGCCUGGAGCCGUUUGCAAAACGUUAAGGGCAUUACACGCUAACUUUCCUGGAGCGGGUCAGUGCAUCGAGUUCUGUUUCUGUGGAAAAUGUGCACCUUCAAAACGGCGUUGACUGUCUCGCCCUCUGGUCGGGCUGCCAUGGGCACAGGAAGCGAUUCCUCCAGCACAAAGCCAGCCUCUGGGGUCUGGACACAAGAGACUGCUCUGUCUAGAAGUGCCUGUUGGAUGCCCCUCUGCGGUCUCGGUGGCCAGCAUCCCUCCUUGGCUGCUCGGAGCCUCGUGCCCAGCCUGGCAUGCAUAUGCUGUGGUUAAGGGUAAAGUGACAGGGUCAUUCACAGGCGUGUCCACAACAGAGACGCUCGUGGCCUCACACGGACUCCUCAGCAGAGAGCAGAAGCGGGUUGAUGUACUCAAAGCCUUCAAACUCAGACUGGUCAAUCCUCUUUAUGACGUCCCUAGAAGCAUAGGAAUGAGGUGAAGAGUGGUAGCUGUGUCCCUCCCUCAGGCACCAUCCUUCCCACCAGCCCACACCGCAGAAGUAGGGACCCAGGCAUGAAACCAUACAGCAGUCUAGACACAGGCUGUCUGUGGAGCUGGGCUACUCAGGACAUGUUCCAUUGUGACAUUUGUGGGGGCAGGUCAGGGUGUCUUGAGCCUUGCAGUGUUGUGCCCAGAACUUACUCGUCAUCUGGAGUCAGCUGCACAGGCUCGCUGGUGAACUGCGUAUCAAAGUUGUCCAGGCCAUAGUCAUCUGUUAUCUGUGGCUGGAAGGGAGGCAGGGCCUGCUUCUUUUCCAGCUGAGAAUAUUGACAAGGGAGUGUCAGAUGGGUGUUAAGCAUCCCCUCUGCCUGCUUCAGUUCUUUGUAUGCAUAUAAAUCACAAAAUAAAAUGGGAAGCUCAGCUUUUCAACAUG